UUUUUUUUUUUUUUUUUUCUUUUUAGGGCCGCAUGUAUGGCAUAUGGAAGUCCCUGGGCUAGGGGUUGAAUUGGAGCUGCAGCUGAGGCCUGCACCACAGCCACAACAACAUCAGAUCCAAGCUGCAUCUGUGACCCACGUUGCAGUUUGUGUCAACACCAGUUACUUAACCCACAGAGCUAGGACAGAGAUUGAACCCACAUCCUCACAUAUACUAUAUCGGGUUCUUAACCUGCUCAGCCACAAUGGAAAUUUCACAUUUUAUUUAAUUGUUUAAUAUAUCCUGUAAGGAAUUGAGGUGACUUAGUAAUUACAGUUUCAAAAUAUCAAGAAUAAGCUCUGGAAAUAUUCUCUGGGAUUCUGAUUUCAAUUCCAGGGUAUAGAGCAGAACACUUGUUUCUUUGUUUUGUUUCGAUUUGUUUUGUUUUUUAUUACUCAAAUGAAUUUAUCACAUCUGUAGUUGUAUAAUGAUCAUUACAAUCCAAUUUCACAGGAUUUCCAUCCCACAGCCCAAGCACAUCCUCCCACCCCCCAAACUGUCUCCUCCAGAGACCAUAAGUUUUUCAAUGUCUGUGAGUUCAGCAUCUGUGUGCUUCAUUAAAUGUUGGGCCAUCUAAAACUUCAGCAGCUAGAAAUUUGAUGCUAUCCUUUCAUUCAUUUAGAUAGUUGCUGUGGAACUAUUGGAAGAAUUAAGCCGUACAGUUUUAUACACAAUUUUCCGUUGUCGAAGAAGGUUUAGGUGCAUUUCUUUGUCCUUUAUCCCCACAUCCUAGUGAACUAGGUAGUUUCUAUCCCCAUUCUGCAGGUUCAGAAAUUCAUCCACAGUCAUAUACUUAAUUAAAGGUCAUGUGUUUUGGUCAGUGCUCUCAAGUUCUAUUAUACCCCUAGAACAAAUACCCUUAGGAUUAAUUAGGUGGAGUACUUAAGAGGUCAGUAGUUACUUUUAUGACAUGGCAGAGGAAGGGCUUGGCUUUGCUGUCUUUCUGUUUAGACAGUGAUCACUUGAUUCUGCUGGAAGAGAAAUCAAGGAACGUUUUCUGAGAGAUUAUUUGGGAACAGUAUGAGUUAACUCUGAGUCAAUGGGAUUAUUUGAUGCAACUGCGUGUUUUCCCACCAUUUAGAAUGCUCUUGUAGCCUUUGCUGCUCAGGAAUAUACUCUUCUUCCUUACGUAAAAUAAAUAAGUAAAUAAAUAAAUAAAUAGGCAUAAUUCUGAAAGGCCAUGAAACCACCCCAGAAAUGGUGAAAAUUUGUUCUCCAAACAACUGUAAAUAAAGGGCAGGAAAGGCCUGUCUCCUUUAAGAAAUAUUUACUGUGGCCCUUUUGAAUGGGGGUCAGUGUCAAGAACUCUAGGAAUAACAGAUAUGGAAAGGCAAAGUUCUGCCCUCAAAGAACUUAAUUUUAGUCAAAAUAAAAGACAGCCAUACAAGUAAAAUAGAACAAUGAAAGUGGCAGUUACCUAUGGGAGGUAAGAUGAAAUAGAAUUAGAUUUCUGAAAAGGGAAAGUUCACUUCUGACUACCAGAGAAUCAUGGGAAGCAUGCACAGCCUUAUGGUAUUGACAUUGGAAGGUAGAGAAAAUAGAGAAGAAACUAGAUACCUGAAGUUAGAAGAAACUAGAGAUUGUUAUAGCAAUAGGAGAGAUGGCUUGCACUAGGGCAAUAGCCAAUGGGAAAGGGUCAAGAUGAAGUUAAAAUAAGAAGUACAUGGAAGAUGGAGUUCCCAUUGUGGCUCAGUGGUUAACAAAUCCGACUAGGAACCAUGAAGUUUCAGGUUUUAUCCCUGGCCUUACUCAGUGGGUUGAGGAUCCGGCAUUGCCAUGAGCUGUGGUGUAGUCCAGCAGCUACAAUUCUGAUUAGACCCCUAGCCUGGGAACCUCCAUAUGCCACAGGUGCAGCCCUAGAAAAGAUGGGAAAAAAAAUAAAGAAGUACAUGGAAGAAAGUUUCAUGGAUCUUAACAAUGGAUUGUAUAUGAUAGAUAAGAGAGUAGAGAAUGGUAAAAUUUGGGAGUGAAGUGACCAGAAAGUUAGCAGUUGUAUCAUGCCUAUAGGGAAAUAACAAUGGACAGAGUAUUUCAUAGCAGAAAAAAAAAUAUGACCUACUCAGAAUCAGAUAAUUCAAGAAGGAUAUGUUUUUAGAAGAGUCAUUUCCAUGUGUUUGAGUAUGGGAGCUACAAAGGAUAGUGCAGUAUCGGGGUCUUGAUAGUUCAUUUACACUACUGCGAAACUUAAAGGGGCAAGGGGAAACAACACCUGAACCUAGAAAGGAAGGGGGACAGCCGUACUUCAGUGAGAGACUUCUAGUUGUGGAAAAGGCACAGCCCAAGGAAACCUUCUAGGAAAGAGGAAAAGAGAAUCAAUACCUUGAUGACUUCAUUCUUUUCUCUCCUUGCAACCUCUAUCAGUAAAGCCAACUGGAAACCCAAGGGCAAGGGAGACCUAUUGAUGUGGUCCUUAUCAUCAGCUUCCUAGGGAACAGAGCUGGAGCGGGGAAGAGAAGGGAUUACAUCAGACUGGGCAAACAGAUGGAGAUACAUGAAGGCUUGUCAAUUGUGUGAAACGGGGAAUUGAGCCUGGGUUGGGUCUAGAAGAGUUGUGUGCCCAGUGGUGACACACACACAGUGACAGCCAGAGCCAGACCUUUGGAGAAUGGAUCUAUUUAGAGCAGGUCCUUGGCACUGCUGACAUUUUGAGCCAAGUAAUUCUUUGUUGGUGGGGAUUGUCCUGUGCACUGUGAGGAUGUUUUUUUUAGCGGCAUACUUGGCCUCUGCACACUGGAUGCCAGUAGUUCUCACUUUCCAAGUUGUGACAGUGAAAAAUGUUUCCAGACAUUGCCAAAUGUCCCCUGGUGGGGAGAGGGGGAGAAGGGGAGGUGUACAUCACCCCUAGGGACAACCACCGAUUUAGCAUCUGGAGAAAAAGGCGAUCUAGAGAAUGGGAAGCAUGGAACCAGCAUUCCGAGAGAAGAAAUGGACCCCUAGGGAGUGCAUUGUCCUGAAGGCCCAAUGGAGAGAGAUCGAUGUGGGUGUGGCCCACAGUGCAAAUGAAAGAGAAAAUUCCACACAAGGACCAGAUUCAGCUGAGAGGCAGAAAAGAAUAGAUGAGAUUGCUUCCAGGCUGAACUGGGCAGGUGGCAGAGGGGGGGCAGCAGCAACCAUUGUGGAUCUAAUNNNNNNNNNNNNNNNNNNNCAGGUGGGCUCAUGAUUUGCUUGGGGUGAAGAGACUCCAACAUUUCAGUUGGAUGAGAGCAGCAAGCCAGUGAAAGAGGGAACUCAGAUAAUAGUAAAACUAACACGUACCAAGAGAAUGUGCUGACCCUGUUUAAAGGGCCUCACAUGUGCUAAAGCAUCUGACAUUCACAAGUCCUGGAGGUUGUCAGGGUAGGGGCCUUGGGAUCCCCAUCUGCAGAUGAGACAACCAAGGCACAGAGUAUUCACUUAAAACUCCAGAUCACACAACUUGUAAGUGGCAAAGCAGUUCUUUGUAGCUGUGCUAAAAAGGAGAGAAGACAUUUCAGUG
rnacentral:lncRNA from 1 species